AACUUUCAACUUUCAACUUUUAACUUACACUUUGUUCGUGACCAAAGUGUUGGGGAGUGGCGAACUGGGUAGUAACAGGUAGGUAUGAACUCAAGAGUCAGGAAUAGCUUAUCGAAAGAUAAGGUAAUACUUGAUAUCCCUUCGGGGGAAAGAUUUAUCGCUCUUGAAUCAGCCUGCUUAGUAUCAGCUUGUUGGUGAGAUAAAAGCUCACCAAGGCUAUGACGCUUAGGGGAGGUGAGAGCCUGACCCCCCACCAUUGGAACUGAGACACUGUCCAAACUCC
rnacentral:rRNA from 1 species